rnacentral:lncRNA from 1 species
GUCCUUGAACUCUAAAUAAUGAUUUAUUCGGUCUAAAUUAUGAUAUUGUAGUUUAGAAUUAUCAUAUCAUUGCACAAGAAAUAUCUUCGAACUCAUCCGGCAUUAUCCGUAGCUCCAAAUUAUUGAAUCUUGGGAUAAAAUUUACGAUAUUAUAGUUCAAAAUUAUGACAUGUGUCAGAGUAAAUAUUUUAGAACACAGAAAUAUGAAAUUCUGGAUAAGAAUUAUAACAUUGUAGGUUAAAAUUAUAACAUUCUUCAUAAGUAAAACAUCCCCGUAUAUAAACAUUAUGAUAUCCUGUCCAAAUUAUGGCAUUUUGGAUUAAAAUAAGGCACACUACAAUAUCCAUAUAUAAACAUUAUGAUAUACUACACAAAUUUCACUUGGCAUUACACAGAU